UACGUAGGGUGCGAGCGUUAAUCGGAAUUACUGGGCGUAAAGGGUGCGCAGGCGGUUAUAUAAGACAGAUGUGAAAUCCCCGGGCUCAACCUGGGAACUGCGUUUGUGACUGUAUGACUAGAGUACGGUAGAGAGGGGUGGAAUUCCUGGUGUAGCAGUGAAAUGCGUAGAUAUCAGGAGGAACAUCGAUGGCGAAGGCAGCUCGCUGGGACGGUACUGACGCUGAGGCGCGAAGCGUGGGGGAGCAAACAGG
rnacentral:rRNA from 1 species